rnacentral:rRNA from 1 species
CCUACGGGUGGCAGCAGUGGGGAAUAUUGGGCAAUGGAGGAAACUCUGACCCAGCAACGCCGCGUGAAGGAUGAAGGUUUUCGGAUUGUAAACUUCUGUCGCGAGGGAUGAAGAAUGACGGUACCUCUUGAAUAAGCCACGGCUAACUACGUGCCAGCAGCCGCGGUAAUACGUAGGUGGCAAGCGUUGUCCGGAUUUACUGGGUGUAAAGGGCGUGUAGCCGGGCUGACAAGUCAGAUGUGAAAUCCGGGGGCUCAACCCCCGAACUGCAUUUGAAACUGUUGGUCUUGAGUAUCGGAGAGGCGGGCGGAAUUCCUAGUGUAGCGGUGAAAUGCGUAGAUAUUAGGAGGAACACCAGUGGCGAAGGCGACCUGCUGGACGACAACUGACGGUGAGGCGCGAAAGCGUGGGGAGCAAACAGGAUUAGAUACCCCGGUAGUC